rnacentral:tRNA from 1 species
GCCCCUGUGGUGUAGAGGCCAAGCAUAGAGCCCUUUCAAGGCUUUGACCCGGGUUCGAAUCCCGGCAGGGGCA